AUUUCGCGUUUUUGCACUUGUGAAAACGUCGCACCUUUUACGUGCACCUCACAGUCAAAAUAGCGCCUUCGUCUUCAAGUGAGCGCUCGUCACCCUCCACCUUUCCCGACGACUCGCCUAGGGAGCGUCUGACGAAUUUCACUAGCAAAUGGCUGUAUAAGCCUGAGACGGCCGCUCGAACAAUGAAAUGGCCGUCACAUGAGGUACGGAAGGUUCACAAACCAAAACUAAAUUCGAAACGCGCGCCGAACCGGACUAUUUCGCGGAGCAGUACAUGUGCAGUAGCUCCGCCCCCGUAGCCUUCCCUUCAUUGCCAAGAAAAGUUGUCCUUGGGGGCGCUUUAGUUGUUUGACGGGUGCACGGUGCGCGCGGUUUGUGUGUGUGUGUGCCAUGCUGUGUUCUGCAAUGCUUCGUUACCACGUUUAUCGAUUAUGCACGUUGGUUACUUGAUUCAAUGUCAAGUGUACCUUCCAAGACGAUCUAGGUCCUAGUCUCGUGACUGAAGGCGAGUGCGGACGUACAGCAGCCUUUUGACAAGACUGUCGCCGAGUGUACGGUACAUUGUGGACUGUAAAGCUGAAGGCUGCACAGUGGAUGCCUGAUUUUGGUAAGUUCUAGAAUAUUUCUGAAUUACACAGCUAGGUUACUUCAUUACAUGACGUCUUUUACGCAGGAACCGAGUGUGAUCGUCUGGGCGGUGUGUUCACUCUGCGGGGAUGAUGGCCAGAGGAAGGAUGAUAGACAGACGACAGCUUGCAGACGAAGAUGGGAGCGUUCUACCUGUGAGCCUGGUCGAGCUUAUAUUUUAUGGAUACACAUACAUGGAUACACAUACAUGGAUUCCCUACAAGGACCCUGCGCAUCAAAAGCAAUCUGUCAUCAAUGUUAAGUAGACAGAUUAAACGAAACGAAGAUAUGACAGGUGUACACCAUAUUUUUCUUUCAUUUAACCUCUGCAUGUUUCCCAGUCAAUAAAUGUUUUUAUCCAUUUUCUUUUGUUGAGAAAUGUCUUUGUACAGCACAAGUGUCGUAGAAGGUGCAUACAUGCACUUUUGUAUGAUGCUUGGCUGCAUGUGUAUCAACCAGCAAACACAUUGUCAGGCACAACUAAUAUGUGAUUCCGUACUAUCAUCCGGACAUAUCAUAAAUCUUAUCAUGCACUGUAAUAGUUCUGUUUCAGGAAUGUUAUGAAUGUCAUUGGCCACGAAGCACAAGCUUGGCCGAGGGUCAUUGCAAACAGGAUGUUUCAUACUCACAAGAAAGUCACUCAUAAGGACACAUUAGAAUGACGGUGGCCAAUAUGUUUUUGAAUGACAUUAUGAGUACAUUAAAACAAU